ensembl:lncRNA
GCUGUGCCCAUCUCCAGGGGUGGCUGCAGGGCUCUGCACUCACUGCGCGGUUUCAGUAGUAAACCAAAUUGUUCCCAAUCUCCUUAUCUUAUCUGCAGGUUCCAAGGGCACGUCCUCUGCACGCCGCCUGGAAACACACCCCGCACGGCGGCGGCUGUCCUGCGGCAGGGCUGGCACGAGGAGGCAGAUCUGCUUACCGCUCCCAUUCCCCGGAGGCUGGAUGUGCUGAGAUGUGCUGUGCGGUGGGAGGGCACCUCGGCGCAGUGACCUUGGAUGGGCAAAUGCACCUGUAAAAACAGCAGAGGUGGUGAGGAGAGGUUGGUCCUCCUGCUCCCACACUGCAGGCAGCUGCAUGUCCCCAGGAAGUGCGCAUCUGGGCACCCCCACAUCUAUACUGCUACCCCUGCAUCUCUGUACACCCACACAUCUGUACACCUGCACAUCUGGACUACUGCACCAUUGGCUCUGACGUCUCCAUGCAGGGCUCCAUAGCAUAUGGAAGCACAUAGGGCAGCCCACACUGCUCACCAGGUGCACGUGGAGCUGUCCUGGGCUGCUGGCAGAAUGUGCUCACGAGGCCCAGAAGCAG